rnacentral:misc_RNA from 1 species
AAAAUGGCGUGUACAGCAGACGAAGAAGCGCAUCUCAGGCAAAAGGCAGAGCAGGGCCUCAAGAAUUCAACUUCUCCCAUUCAGAAGCUUCGAUAUGCAUGUCUCAUGCGCGGAGCAAAUGGAAUCAAAGGAUUGGGCAGAAGUUUCCGUAUCAUGGAUGAUGACGGCAGUAAGACGUUGGACAUGCGGGAGUUCCGGGACGGUCUCCGUGACUACGGUCUCCGGGAGCUGGAUGAGCAGACGAUAGCUGACGUGUUCAGAGAGCUGGACAGGGACGGAAGCGGGAAGCUCAACUACGACGAGUUUCUGGUGGCAAUUAGAGGUCCCAUUAACAAAACCCGCGAGGAGUAUGUACGGAAAGCUUUCCAGAAGAUGGACGCCACUGGAGACGGCCAGAUCACGGUGGACGACAUCCGGAAGUUGUACGACGCGAGUCAACAUCCCAAGUUCCAGAGCGGCGAAUGGACGGCCGACCAGUGCUUUCGACACUUCCUGGACUCCUUCGACACACCCGGUGACCCCGAUGGAGUGGUAUACAACUUGUCUGAUGUCAAAAACCUUAACUUCCAAUAAACCAAAAUGUGUAUUUAGGAUUUAAAUCAUAGAAAAAAUUGAAGUUAGUUUCAUAUUUCCAUAGUUUGAUAAUCAAAACAUUUUGAAUUUUUAAGGUAACUUGGGAUGAAUUUUUGAAUUACUACACGGGAGUCAGCGCGUCCAUCGACGACGAUAACUACUUUUGUACCAUGAUGAAGCGAGCCUGGCGGAUGUAGCACGUUGUCAUGGCGACAUUGACCAUAUUUAUCCAUAGAUUUACUUAGCAGCGUGAAAGCGACCCGCGGGGAUGAAAUCUUAUACAUUUGUAACAAUCAAUAGAUUACCUCUAUAUAUAUUCAUAUAUUGCCAUUGUUGUUUUCCUAUUAUAUAUAGUACGUUGACUCUUUGACCAAUGUUAUCAUUAUACAUCUAUUAAUACAUUUUUUGUAUACUAUUAACAUUUUGUAUUAAUGUUGAUCUUUGAAUUAAAAUGCACUUCAUUU